UACGAAGGGUGCAAGCGUUAAUCGGAAUUACUGGGCGUAAAGCGUGCGCAGGCGGUUUGGUAAGAAAGAUGUGAAAUCCCAGAGCUUAACUUUGGAACUGCAUUUUUAACUGCCAAGCUAGAGUAUGUCAGAGGGGGGUAGAAUUCCACGUGUAGCAGUGAAAUGCGUAGAGAUGUGGAGGAAUACCGAUGGCGAAGGCAGCCCCCUGGGAUAAUACUGACGCUCAUGCACGAAAGCGUGGGGAGCAAACAGG
rnacentral:rRNA from 1 species